ensembl:snRNA U6 U6 spliceosomal RNA
AAGCCUCACCUAAGCAACAUAUAUAACCAAAUUGUAAUUAUUCAGAGUGGAUUAGCAUUGCCUAUGUGCAAAAGUGGCAGGAAAAUAUGCAAAGUGUUCCAUAUUUUU